AUUGAACGCUGGCGGCAGGCCUAACACAUGCAAGUCGAACGAGUGGCGGACGGGUGAGUAAUGUCUGGGAAACUGCCUGAUGGCGGGGGAUAACUACUGGAAACGGUAGCUAAUACCGCAUACCAUCGGGUGUGCCCAGAUGGGAUUAGCUGGUAGGUGGGGUAAAGGGUCACCUAGGCGACGAUCCCUAGCUGGUCUGAGAGGAUGACGAGCCACACUGGAACUGAGGCACGGGCCAGACUCCUACGAGGGGAAGCAGUGGGGAAUAUUGCACAAUGGGCGCAAGCCUGAUGCAGCCAUGCCGCGUGUAUGAAGAGGGCCUUCGGGUUGUAAAGUACUUUCAGCGGGGAGGCGUUACCCGCAGAAGAAGCACCGGCUAACUCCGUGCCAGCAGCCGCGGUAAUUC
rnacentral:rRNA from 1 species